ACGAAUCGCAUGGCCUCGUGCGGCGAUGGUUCAUUCUAUAUUCUGCCCUAUCAACUUUCGAUGGUAGGAUAGUGGCCUACCAUGGUUUCAACGGGUAACGGGGAAUUAGGGUUCUAUUCCGGAGAGGGAGCCUGAGAAACGGCUACCACAUCCAAGGAAGGCAGCAGGCGCGCAAAUUAUCCAAUUCCGAUACGGAGAGAUAGUGACAAUAAAUACUGAUCUUGGGCCAUUUUUGGUCUAAGAAUUGGAAUGAGUACAAUUUAAAUCCCUUAACGAGGAACAAUUGGAGGGCAAGUCUGGUGCCAGCAGCCGCGGUAAUUCCAGCUCCAAUAGCGUAUAUUAAAGUUGUUGCAGUUAAAAAGCUCGUAGUUGAACCUUGGGCCCUUGGCUGGCCGGUCCGCCUCACCGCGUGCACUGGUCCGGCCGGGCCUUUCCUUCUGAGGAGCCGCAUGCCCUUCACUGGGUGUGUCGGGGAAUCAGGACUUUUACUUUGAAAGAAUUAGAGUGUUCAAAGCAGGCCUUUGCUCGAAUACGUUAGCAUGGAAUAAUAGAAUAGGACGUGCGGUCCUAUUUUGGGUGGUUUCUAGGAUCGCCGUAAUGAUUAAUAGGGAUAGUCCGGGGGCCAUCAAGUAUUCAAUUGUCAGAGGUGAAAUUCUUGG
rnacentral:rRNA from 1 species